UGAAUUUCUUAGCAUUACAAUACUUGCUGGAAAUCAUUCCUGUAAUUACAGUAUGGUGGUCAGCUUCAAGCAUUAUUACUGUAAUUGCUGCAAAUCAUCAUUGUUCAAAUCAUUAGUCAGAUUCAACAUAAUCUUUAGGAUUAGUCAAUUCUUUGGAGUAAAUUACAGUACGGUGAUGUUCAAUAUGAAUUGGAGUAAAUUACAGUACGGUGAUGUUCAAUAUGAAUUGGAGUAAAUUGCU
rnacentral:lncRNA from 1 species